CUUCAGCAAACACUGCUGACUCAUCCAAAACCAGCUUCCUGGGCCAAUGCGUUUAACACUUGGUCAAGUUCUCUUCUACACUUGGAAAUACUCUGAUUCUUCUCAGUGUCCUCUCAGCGAACCCUCGAUCUCCUUGCUCCUUCACUGGGAAUGUUACAGGUACAUUCACCAAGGUUUAAAUGUCCUAGAAGUUCAGGCAUUUAGUGGAUCUCCCAAGCAAAAUGUUCUCAUGUGUAUACCAACUCCCAGAAACUAAGGAGUUUCAACAGCCAGCUAAACAGUUGAUACUUUGAUCUACAAGAGAUCAGGGCCUCCUAUUCUGCAUUAAUGAGAGUCAACACAUGCAAGUAAUCCAGAGUUUUCUUCCAACAUAACUAUAUGCAUAGUUAGAAGAUAG